UGGUACACGGUGGCAUGGCACUUAAUGUGCACAAGAGAAGACGAAGAGACGACAGAGUGAAGAAGGCUCUGUCGUGCAAGAACAGGAGGAGAAAGAAGGAAAGAAACAGAGAGAGAGAGAGAGAGAGAGGAGAAACCACGUGGAAGAACCGGCCCGUGAGAACCAGCCAACAAGCAUGCAUAGAGUUCCUCACACGAUCAUCAAUGUGAGAGAAGGUGCUCCCCAGCAGAGAAACAAGAUAACACCAGUUGGUUCUGUUGUUGUAAAGUGAGUCGUCCACGGUUCACGACUCCGCUUCUCGCAGGGAAACACAAACUCGUCCUUCGAUGUGGGAAAGCAACAGAUGAACCCUCCUCCAUCAUCGUCGGCAUCACUUCCACAAGCCCAGGCAGCUGCUUCACAGUAGUGACGACGAGCAGGAAGACACCGGUCCGCUUCUCCUCCAGUGUUCGGUCUCAGUCUUCGGUUUCGUUACCUGAUCGGAUGAUCCACCUCAACUGCUGAUGGACUCGCCGGGUUCAGAC